rnacentral:sRNA from 1 species
UGAUAUAGGGUACUGUUCGUUGGAAUGC